UAGGGAAUCUUCCGCAAUGGACGAAAGUCUGACGGAGCAACGCCGCGUGAGUGAAGAAGGAUUUCGGUUCGUAAAACUCUGUUGUUAGGGAAGAAAAAAUGUAUAGUAACUAUAUACAAAAGAGACGGUACCUAACCAGAAAGCCACGGCUAACUACGUGCCAGCAGCCGCGGUAAUACGUAGGUGGCAAGCGUUGUCCGGAAUUAUUGGGCGUAAAGCGCGCGCAGGUGGUUUAGAAAGUCUGAUGUGAAAGCCCACGGCUCAACCGUUGAGGGUCAUUGGAAACUAAUAAACUUGAGUGCAGGAGAGAAAAGUGGAAUUCCUAGUGUAGCGGUGAAAUGCCUAGAGAUUAGGAGGAACACCGGUGGCGAAAGCUGCUUUUUGGCCUGCAACUGACACUGAGGCGCGAAAGCGUGGUGAGCAGACAGG
rnacentral:rRNA from 1 species